rnacentral:rRNA from 1 species
GAUGAACGCUGGCGGCGUGCCUAAUACAUGCAAGUCGAGCGAACAGACGAGGAGCUUGCUCCUCUGACGUUAGCGGCGGACGGGUGAGUAACACGUGGAUAACCUACCUAUAAGACUGGGAUAACUUCGGGAAACCGGAGCUAAUACCGGAUAAUAUAUUGAACCGCAUGGUUCAAUAGUGAAAGACGGUUUUGCUGUCACUUAUAGAUGGAUCCGCGCCGCAUUAGCUAGUUGGUAAGGUAACGGCUUACCAAGGCAACGAUGCGUAGCCGACCUGAGAGGGUGAGCGGCCACACUGGAACUGAGACACGGUCCAGACUCCUACGGGAGGCAGCAGUAGGGAAUCUUCCGCAAUGGGCGGAAGCCUGACGGAGCAACGCCGCGUGGGUGAUGAAGGUCUUCGGAUCGUAAAACUCUGUUAUUAGGGAAGAACAAAUGUGUAAGUAACUAUGCACGUCUUGACGGUACCUAAUCAGAAAGCCACGGCUAACUACGUG